UAAUUUGCAGUUUUCACUCCUCAGCCCCUCACACAGCUGAUUCACUCCUGAAUCCUCCAUGUUGUUGUCGCUCAGGUUCAGUUCAGUCAGUCGUGAGUGUGGAGCAGAAAGAGCUGAGGAGAGAGCUGAGGAACAUCUGGAGGUGAGACCACAAUCAGACAGGCUGUAGAGAUAAAGAAAGAGAAGUGAGGACAUGAGGAGGGACAGACAGACAGA